UGGGGAAUAUUGGACAAUGGGCGCAAGCCUGAUCCAGCCAUGCCGCGUGUGUGAAGAAGGCCUUUUGGUUGUAAAGCACUUUAAGCGAGGAGGAGGCUACUUGGAUUAAUACUCUAAGAUAGUGGACGUUACUCGCAGAAUAAGCACCGGCUAACUCUGUGCCAGCAGCCGCGGUAAUACAGAGGGUGCGAGCGUUAAUCGGAUUUACUGGGCGUAAAGCGUGCGUAGGCGGCUUCUUAAGUCGGAUGUGAAAUCCCUGAGCUUAACUUAGGAAUUGCAUUCGAUACUGGGAAGCUAGAGUAUGGGAGAGGAUGGUAGAAUUCCAGGUGUAGCGGUGAAAUGCGUAGAGAUCUGGAGGAAUACCGAUGGCGAAGGCAGCCAUCUGGCCUAAUACUGACGCUGAGGUACGAAAGCAUUGGGAGCAAACAGG
rnacentral:rRNA from 1 species